rnacentral:rRNA from 1 species
UACGUAGGGGGCAAGCGUUGUCCGGAUUUAUUGGGCGUAAAGAGCUCGUAGGUGGUUCGGUAAGUCGGAUGUGAAAUCUCCAGGCUCAACCUGGAGGGGUCAUUCGAUACUGCCGUGACUAGAGUUCGGUAGGGGAGUGUGGAAUUCCUGGUGGAGCGGUGAAAUGCGCAGAUAUCAGGAGGAACACCCGUAGCGAAGGCGGCACUCUGGGCCGAUCCUGACACUGAGGAGCGAAAGCGUGGGGAGCGAACAGG